UGAAGGGAUGUCUGAUCCUUCCUAG
rnacentral:piRNA from 1 species